GGUGCGUUAGUUCAGUUGGUUAGAAUACAUGCCUGUCACGUAUGGGGUCACGGGUUCGAGUCCCGUACGCACCGCGA
rnacentral:tRNA from 1 species